rnacentral:rRNA from 1 species
CCUACGGGAGGCAGCAGUGAGGAAUAUUGGUCAAUGGGCGAGAUCCUGAACCAGCCAAGCCGCGUGAGGGAAGACGGCCCUAUGGGUUGUAAACCUCUUUUGUCGGAGAACAAAACCCGGGACGUGUCCCGGACUGCGUGUAUCCGAAGAAAAAGCAUCGGCUAACUCCGUGCCAGCAGCCGCGGUAAUACGGAGGAUGCGAGCGUUAUCCGGAUUUAUUGGGUUAAAGGGGUGCGUAGGCGGUCCGUUAAGUCAGCGGUAAAAUUGCGGGGCUCAACCCCGUCGAGCCGUUGAAACUGGCAGACUUGAGUUGGCGAGAAGUACGCGGAAUGCGCGGUGUAGCGGUGAAAUGCAUAGAGAUCGCGCAGAACUCCGAUUGCGAAGGCAGCGUACCGGCGCCAGACUGACGCUGAGGCACGAAAGCGUGGGGAGCGAACAGGAUUAGAUACCCCUGUAGUC